UACGAAGGACCCAAGCGUUAUCCGGAUUUAUUGGGUUUAAAGGGUGCGUAGGCGGUUUAUUAAGUCAGUGGUGAAAGCCUACAGCUUAACUGUAGAAUGGCCAUUGAUGCUGAUGAUCUUGAGUAUGAUUGAGGUGGGCGGAAUGUGUCAUGUAGCGGUGAAAUGCUUAGAUAUGUCACAGAACACCGAUUGCGAAGGCAGCUCACUAAGCCAUAACUGACGCUGAUGCACGAAAGCGUGGGGAGCAAACAGG
rnacentral:rRNA from 1 species